rnacentral:rRNA from 1 species
UACGUAGGGUGCGAGCGUUGUCCGGAAUUAUUGGGCGUAAAGGGCUCGUAGGCGGUUUGUCGCGUCGGGAGUGAAAACUCAGGGCUUAACCCUGAGCCUGCUUCCGAUACGGGCAGACUAGAGGUAUGCAGGGGAGAACGGAAUUCCUGGUGUAGCGGUGAAAUGCGCAGAUAUCAGGAGGAACACCGGUGGCGAAGGCGGUUCUCUGGGAAUGUCCUGACGCUGAGGAGCGAAAGUGUGGGGAGCGAACAGG